CUGUCAAAGAGGUCAGAGAGGUGGGCAUGGACCCUGUCAGAGGUCAGAGAGGUGGGCAUGGACCCUGUCAAAGAGGUCAAAGAGGUGGGCAUGGACCCUGUCAAAGAGGUCAGAGAGGUGGGCAUGGGCCCUGUCAAAGAGGUCAAAGAGGUGGGCAUGGACCCUGUCAAAGAGG